rnacentral:rRNA from 1 species
CUACGGGUGCUCCAGUGAGGAAUAUUGGUCAAUGGGCGCGAGCCUGAACCAGCCAUCCCGCGUGCAGGAUGACGGCCCUAUGGGUUGUAAACUGCUUUUCUAUGCCAAGAAACCCUGUUACGAGUAACAGGUUGCCGGUAGCAUAGGAAUAAGCAUCGGCUAACUCCGUGCCAGCAGCCGCGGUAAUACGGAGGAUGCAAGCGUUAUCCGGAGUCAUUGGGUGUAAAGGGUGCGCAGGUGGGCUUGUAAGUCAGUGGUGAAAUGCUGCCGCUUAACGGUAGAACUGCCAUUGAUACUGCGAGUCUUGAGUAUGGUUGAGGUAGGCGGAAUGUGUUGUGUAGCGGUGAAAUGCAUAGAUAUGACACAGAACGCCAAUUGCGAAGGCAGCUUACUAAGCCAUUACUGACGCUGAGGCACGAAAGCGUGGGGAGCGAACAGGAUUAGAUACCCCCGUAGUC